rnacentral:rRNA from 1 species
GACGAACGCUGGCGGCAGGCUUAACACAUGCAAGUCGAACGAGUGGCGGACGGGUGAGUAAUGCUUGGGAAUCUGGCUUAUGGAGGGGGAUAACUCAGGGAAACUGUAGCUAAUACCGCGUACCAUAGGAUGAGCCCAAGUGGGAUUCGGUAGUUGGUGAGGGAAAGGCUCAACAAGCCGACGAUCUCUAGCUGGUCUGAGAGGCUGACCAGCCACACUGGGACUGAGACACGGCCCAGACUCCUACGUGAGGCAGCAGUGGGGAAUAUUGAGCAAUGGGGGCAACCUGACGCAGCCAUGCCGCGUGAAUGAAGAAGGCCUUAGGGUUGUAAAGUUCUUUCGGUAGCGAGGCGUUAACUACAGAAGAAGCACCGGCUAACUCCGUGCCAGCAGCCGCGGUAAUUC